ACUCGGAAUGGGAAGGUCUAAACAGGAAGUCGCCUUCCGUUCUUUUGUUAUGUGAAGAAAGCAAAGACAAAAUAUACUAAAGCCUGAAAAUUAAAUUUUAAGAGAACUAGAAUUCAACAUCUAAGAUUUCUGAACCCCCCCUUUGACAGCAGGAGAAAAAGGGGGUUGUAUUUGGACUUUUCAAUCCUGCAGAAGUGAGUUUAAAAUAAAGCAAUUUUCCACCGCCCUGAACCAGGAGCGGGCUGUCAGAAUUGACGUUCUGAAGUUUAUCCAGCUCGACAGUUAGUUAAAAGAAGGGUAACAUUUUGAUUCUACUGUUGCCUCUUGAAUUUGGAAGGGGGAAUUUUGGAUAAAGUGUUUCUGGAAAAAGAAAGAUUGUUGCUGUUGCUUUUAUUCCUUU